rnacentral:rRNA from 1 species
AGUGAACGCUGGCGGUAGGCCUAACACAUGCAAGUCGAACGGCAGCACAGUAAGAGCUUGCUCUUACGGGUGGCGAGUGGCGGACGGGUGAGGAAUACAUCGGAAUCUACUUUUUCGUGGGGGAUAACGUAGGGAAACUUACGCUAAUACCGCAUACGACCUACGGGUGAAAGCAGGGGAUCUUCGGACCUUGCGCGAUUGAUGAGCCGAUGUCGGAUUAGCUAGUUGGCGGGGUAAAGGCCCACCAAGGCGACGAGCCGUAGCUGGUCUGAGAGGAUGAUCAGCCACACUGGAACUGAGACACGGUCCAGACUCCUACGGGAGGCAGCAGUGGGGAAUAUUGGACAAUGGGCGCAAGCCUGAUCCAGCCAUACCGCGUGGGUGAAGAAGGCCUUCGGGUUGUAAAGCCCUUUUGUUGGGAAAGAAAAGCAGCAGGUUAAUACCCCGCUGUUCUGACGGUACCCAAAGAAUAAGCACCGGCUAACUUCGUG